rnacentral:rRNA from 1 species
UACGUAGGGUGCGAGCGUUGUCCGGAAUUAUUGGGCGUAAAGAGCUCGUAGGCGGUGUGUCGCGUCGGCCGUGAAAACCUGGGGCUUAACUCUGGGCGUGCGGUCGAUACGGGCAUCACUAGAGUUCGGCAGGGGAGACUGGAAUUCCUGGUGUAGCGGUGAAAUGCGCAGAUAUCAGGAGGAACACCGGUGGCGAAGGCGGCUCUCUGGGCCACUACUGACGCUGAGAAGCGAAAGCAUGGGGAGCGAACAGG